rnacentral:tRNA from 1 species
GCGGUCGUGGUGGAAUGGUAGACACGCUACUUUGAGGGGGUAGUGGGAGUAAUCCCGUGUGAGUUCAAAUCUCAUCGUCCGCA